UCCUCUUGCUGAUUAAAAGAAAAAUACAAACAGCAGGUAGGUUGUUUUGUCUUCAACUACACUGCCACUGAAGAAAGGGAACAUGCUUUUCUCUCCUACCUUGCAUCAUUUAUAGUUUGCCUCUGCAGCUGGUGGCUGAGAUGUAUUACUGUACUAUUUCUCCAAGCUUCCCUCUGACCUUUGAUGAUUUGUAUUCUGUUAACUAUCUUACUCCCUCAGAUGCGUCAAGAAAUUAACUGAAUUGCCUGACUGAAACAAGGGACAAAACUAAUACUAGCAAGGACAGAAUAUUUCAUUACAUACCAAGUGCACAUUUCUGCCUUUGUGGUCUACAUGGAUGAGUGGCUUUUUGAAACCAAACUGAUGAGAAUUUACUCAAGUAACAGACUCGUGGGGGAAGGGGGACCUAAAGAACUCAAAUCGUGCAUAGGAACUGAUA